rnacentral:snRNA from 1 species
GGAUGUGAGGGCAAUCUGGCUGCAACAUCUGUUACCCCACUGAUCACCAGGCUUGAUUCGGCUGAUCUAGCUGGCUAGGUGGGUAUUCCCUUUCCUCCCUCACUGCUCCAUGUGCAUCCCUCCAGAAGCUGAGUGCUCAGUUGAAGAGAACGACCAACCCUGUAGAGGAGGACCAUUUCUUCUGUCAAGGGUAUACAAGUAGCUGCUCUCCCCUGCUAGAACCUCCAAACAAGCUCUCAAAGAACCUCUUAUCUCAUUUGUGGUUUCUUUUUUCACAUAUGUGUAUUUAGAAAUGUAUGCCAUCUCAACCUGAUAUAAGCCAUCUAU